UACAACCACUGAACCAACAAAGAUGACGAAAUCGACGGCAAGGAUGACGAUGACAAAAUCGAUGGCAAGGAUGAAGAUGACGAAACCAACAGGGAGGACGAACACAAUUGAUUGAUCAAGCACAAAGGAAAAGAGUUUAAAGAACGUUGUGGCUACAGCAAUUCGUUUACUAUAUCAUAUGUACAAACCAAUAAAAGGACAUUUGUUGCACCCUAAUUUCAUUCCAAAAAUACUAUUUAUGUUGCUUAUUUUAUGUACCAUAAAUUCCAAUUGCGAUUAUUACUGUU